rnacentral:rRNA from 1 species
AGAGCGAACGCUGGCGGCAGGCUUAACACAUGCAAGUCGAGCGCCCCGCAAGGGGAGCGGCAGACGGGAGAGUAACACGUGGGAACGUACCUUUCGGUUCGGAACAACCCAGGGAAACUUGGGCUAAUACCGGAUACGUCCGUAAGGAGAAAGAUUUAUCGCCGAAAGAUUGGCCCGCGUCUGAUUAGCUAGUUGGUGAGGUAACGGCUCACCAAGGCGACGAUCAGUAGCUGGUCUGAGAGGAUGAUCAGCCACAUUGGGACUGAGACACGGCCCAAACUCCUACGGGAGGCAGCAGUGGGGAAUAUUGGACAAUGGGCGCAAGCCUGAUCCAGCCAUGCCGCGUGAGUGAUGAAGGCCCUAGGGUUGUAAAGCUCUUUUGUGCGGGAAGAUAAUGACGGUACCGCAAGAAUAAGCCCCGGCUAACUUCGUGCCAGCAGCCGC